AAAGUUAAGAAAAAACAGAGUGA
rnacentral:siRNA from 1 species